GUGUCUUUUGAAAGGAGAGCAGGUUAGCACUCCCCUUGACAAGGAUGGAACAUAUCUUGGGGUCGGUAAGGCACCUAAUUGCCGACCCCUCCAUUUUUUUU